rnacentral:rRNA from 1 species
CCCUUAGAUGUUCUGGGCUGCACGCGCGCUACACUGACGCACGCAACAGGUGCCUGCUCCGAGAGGACUGGGUAAUCAUUUGAGUGUGCGUCGUGAUGGGGAUAGAAUAUUGUAAUUAUUACUCUUCAACGAGGAAUUCCCAGUAAGCGCGAGUCAUAAGCUCGCGUUGAUUACGUCCCUGCCCUUUGUACACACCGCCCGUCGCUACUACCGAUUGAACGGUUUAGUGAGGGCCUCGGAUUGGUCUCGGCCCGCUCUUUACCGGGCGGCGCCGUUGGUCGAGAAGACGCUCGAACUUGAUCGUUUAGAGGAAGUAAAAGUCGUAACA